rnacentral:rRNA from 1 species
UAGGGAAUAUUGGACAAUGGGGGCAACCCUGAUCCAGCCAUGCCGCGUGAGUGAAGAAGGCCCUCGGGUUUUAAAUCUCUUUUGUCCGGAAAGAAAAGCUUCGGGUUAUUACCCCGGGGUUCUGACGGUACCGGAAGAAUAAGCACCGGCUAACUUCGUGCCAGCAGCCGCGGUAAUACGAAGGGUGCAAGCGUUACUCGGAAUUACUGGGCGUAAAGCGUGCGUAGGUGGUUGUUUAAGUCUGAUGUGAAAGCCCUGGGCUCAACCUGAGAAUGGCGUGGGAAACUGGGCAGCUAGAGUGCGGUAGAGGGUAGUGGAAUUGCCGGUGUAGCAGUGAAAUGCGUAGAGAUCGGGAGGAACAUCUGUGGCGGAGGCGACUGCCUGGACCAGCACUGACACUGAGGCACGAAAGCGUGGGGAGCAAACA